CGGGAAAAGCCCAGAGCAGCGCCCGGCCCACCCUGGAAACCAAAGCGCGGCUCCCGCCCCGAAGACCCAGAGCGCCGCAGGAGUCGGGCCUCCGCUCGCUGCUGAUUGGCUGGGCCGGGUCAGACGCCGUGGGGUGAGAGUAGGCACUUGCUGGGCCAGCUCCCUACCUCCUCCAUGGAUGCUAUGGAAAAUCCUGAGGGGCAGGAGCUGCAAAAACUGGAAAGGGGAGCCUGGGACAAUCCUUCGUACAGUGGCCCCCCCUCCCCACAAGAGAUGCUGAGGAUCUGCACAAUCUCUACUGCAGCACUCCCCAAGCCUCAGCCCAGGAAGCCUGAAGAUGGACCACAAGAGAAGACACACAGGACCCUGGUGUCCAGCUGCUGCCUUCAUUUCUGUCGCAGUAUCAGAGGACUUUGGGGAACAACACUGACUGAGAACACAGCUGAGAACAGAGAACUUUAUGUCAAGACUACCAUCCGAGAGCUUCUGGUAUACAUCGUGUUCCUAGUGGACAUCUGUCUGUUGACCUAUGGAAUGACAAGCUCCAGUGCCUACUACUACACCAAAGCGAUGUCUCAGCUCUUCUUGCAUACUCCAUCAGACACUGGAGUCUCCUUUCAGGCCAUCAGCAACAUGGAAGACUUCUGGGAAUUUGCCCAGGGCCCACUUCUGGACAGUUUGUACUGGACCAAGUGGUACAACAAUCAGAGCCUGGGCCAUGGCUCCCACUCCUUCAUCUACUACGAGAAUCUGCUGCUGGGUGCCCCAAGACUGCGGCAGUUGCGAGUCCGCAAUGACUCCUGUGUGGUGCACGAGGACUUCCGUGAGGAUAUUUUGAGUUGCUACGAUGUCUACUCUACAGACAAAGAAGAACAGCUCCCCUUUGGUCCCCUCAAUGGCACAGCGUGGACAUACCAUUCACAGGAUGAGCUGGGGGGAUCCUCCCACUGGGGCAGGCUCACAAGCUACGGUGGAGGCGGUUACUUUCUAGACUUGCCAGGAUCCCAACAGGCCAGUGCAGAGGCACUCCGAGACCUUCAGAAGGGGCUCUGGCUGGAUAGAGGCACUCGUGUGGUCUUCAUUGACUUCUCAGUCUACAAUGCCAACAUCAAUUUUUUCUGUGUUCUAAGGCUAGUGGUGGAGUUCCCGGCCACAGGAGGUGCCAUCCCAUCCUGGCAAAUCCGAACAGUGAAGUUGAUCCGCUAUGUCAGCAACUGGGACUUCUUCAUCGUUGGCUGUGAGAUUGUUUUCUGUAUCUUCAUCUUCUACUAUGGGGUUGAAGAGAUCCUGGAGCUCCACAUGCACCGGCUUUACUACCUUACCAGCAUCUGGAACAUACUGGAUCUGGUGGUCAUCUUGCUCUCCAUUGUGGCAGUGGGCUUCCACAUAUUCCGAACCCUGGAGGUAAAUCGGCUAAUGGGAAAGCUCUUGGAGAAACCAAACACUUAUGCUGACUUUGAGUUCCUGGCCUUUUGGCAAACUCAGUACAACAACAUGAAUGCUGUCAACCUCUUCUUUGCGUGGAUCAAGAUAUUCAAGUACAUCAGCUUCAACAAAACCAUGAUGCAGCUCUCCUCUACACUGGCCCGCUGUGCCAAGGACAUACUGGGCUUUGCCAUCAUGUUCUUCAUUGUUUUCUUUGCUUAUGCCCAGCUUGGUUACCUGCUUUUUGGAACACAAGUGGAAAACUUCAGCACUUUUGUUAAGUGCAUUUUUACUCAGUUCCGGAUAAUCCUCGGGGACUUUGACUACAAUGCUAUCGACAAUGCCAACCGCAUCCUAGGUCCUGUCUACUUUGCGACCUACGUCUUCUUCGUCUUCUUCAUUCUUCUGAACAUGUUCCUGGCCAUUAUCAAUGACACAUACUCAGAGGUUAAGGAGGAGUUGGCUGGGCAGAAGGAUAAGCUACAGCUCUCUGACCUGCUGAAACAGGGAUACAACAAGACCCUAUUAAGACUGCAUCUAAGGAAGGAUCAGGUGUCAGAUAUGCAGAAAGUCUUGCAGGAUGGGAAGCAGGAGAUCCAGUUUGAGGAUUUUACCAACACAUUAAAAGAACUGGGGCACACAGAGCAUGAAAUCACUGAGCUCACGGCUGCUUUCACUAGGUUUGACCAGGAUGAGAAUUGCAUAUUGGAUGAGAAGGAGCAGGAAAAAUUGCAACAGGAUCUGGAGAAGGAGAGGGUGGCCCUCAAUGCUGAGAUUGAGAACCUGAGCCAACCCAUUGUGUGUGGCAAGCAGGCCUCAGAGGAUGCCAGAGCAGGAGGCUGGGUUUCCAGAGAAGAAUUCUACAGGUUUACAAAGAGAGUUCUGCAACUGGAGACCAUUCUGGAAGGAGUCGUGUCCCAGACUGAUUCUUUGGGCUCAGAGCUGAAGAUCCUGGAGAAGAAGGGGCAGUUAACUCCAUCCCUGGGAAUGGGUCCUGGAGAACCAGAUUCAUAGAAUUUACAAUGUUGGUGGAAGUGAGUUGGGGAACGAAGGCCUCUUAAGUUUGGUUGCUCUGGCCUAAUGGCUGCCUCAGUCUCCAGGAAAGGAGGAACAAGCCAUUUGGAAACUCAUGCAGCCAGCCCCAGCUGUAGCUCCAUCCCUUUAGGGAGUUCCGGGUAGGCAGAAGAGUGGCAAAGGAGGAGUCCUAAAACUGGAAAUUAGACUCUUUUCCCUCUCUGCCUCUUUCAAAGCCUCUCUCCAUAUGCCCUCUACUGGGUUCUCCUACCUUAGGGUCCACCAUGGUCACUAGCGAGUCUUACCCUGUGUCUGGACUUUUGAGCCGAUGUUUCUGCCUGUCAGCUGGGCAUCAUGCUUAAGCUUGUGAGUCAGUAUUUCUUAUGCAAUAGUCCUGUAAAACAUAAUUCUGUAAAGUAACACUUCCCACUAGAGUUCUUAUUCACUGUGCAUUUAGUGAAAAAAAUGCUGUUGUGUUAAAAAUGUCAAUAACAAACAAAAUACAGGAAGGGAGAAUAAUGACUCAUUAAGAUCUUGACAGCCAUGACUUAUCAAGAAGGUAGAAGGCAACAGAGUAGACAAUAUCUAGAUGUUUUCCUAUUUACCAGUAAAUUUUACACUUAUUGUUUGUGUAUCUGGAGACCCACUGUUACCACCUAUAGGUUUCUUUUCUUCCCCCAUAGAAUUUCCCUGUAAAAGAGGAAAGUAACCCUUAGAGUCAGAUUCCAACACUACAGAUGAAUUAAAGUGAAGCUCCAUUUCCAGAAAAGUCUAUAAAGAUUCUUGAGGUGGAGGCUGUUCCAGGAAUUUCACUAAAUGCUAAGUACUGAGCAGGCUGUAACUCAGGAGACCAAAAUGCAGCCUGAAAGGAAUAAUGCAAAGAAAUGACCUCAAGAUUCAGAGAUCUUUGGACUAAUAUGUGGGGGGUUCUGAUUAGUUUUUCAUAGGACAACACAGUUUCCCAGGUGACUAUCAAUAAAACUGCUUCAAAAAACCA